rnacentral:rRNA from 1 species
UAUAGAAUACUCAAGCUAUGCAUCCAACGCGUUGGGAGCUCUCCCAUAUGGUCGACUUGCAGGCGGCCGCGAAUUCACUAGUGAUUGGAUUAGGCAUGCAAGUCCAACGAGGAAGUGCCCCGUAAGGGGCGCAAGCCUAGUGGCGAAAGGGUGAGUAAUGCAUUGAUAACCUGCCUUUGAGAUGGGAAUAACUGCGUUUCGAGCAAUCGGAACUACCGAAAGGGCUGCUAAUACCCAAUAAUACUAUAGGUGCAAAAGCACUUGUGGUCAAAUGCUAGGAAUUCUGUUCCUUGUGCUUAAAGAGGGGUUAAUGUCCUAUCAGCUAGUUGGUGGGGUAAUGGCCUACCAAGGCAAAGACGGGUAGCCGGCUUGAGAGGGUGGUCGGCCACACUGGGACUGAGACACUGCCCAGACUCCUACGGGAGGCUGCAGUCGAGAAUCUUUUGCAAUGCCCGAAAGGGUGACGAAGCGACGCCGCGUGUGGGAAGAAGGCCUUCGGGUUGUAAACCACUGUCGGGAGUUAGGAAAUGCAGGUGCGUUAAUAGCGCACUUGCUUGACUAAGGCUCCAGAGGAAGCCACGGCUAACUCUGUGCCAGCAGCCGCGGUAAUACAGAGGCGGCAAGCGUUGUUCGGAAUUAUUGGGCGUGAAGAGCACGUAGGCGGCCUUGCAAGUCAGUUGUGAAAGCCUUCCGCUUAACGGAAGAACGGCAUCUGAUACUACAGGGCUUGAGUACGGGAGGGGAGAGUGGAACUUCUGGUGGAGCGGUGAAAUGCGUAGAUAUCAGAAGGAACGCCGGCGGCGAAAGCGACUCUCUGGUCCGAAACUGACGCUGAGUGUGCGAAAGCUAGGGGAGCAAACGGGAUUAGAUACCCCGGUAGUCCUAGCCGUAAACGAUGGGCACUAAGUAGAGGGAAUUAAAUCGAAUUCCCG